AUCUACGGCCAUGAUACCUACCCUGAACGUGCCCGAUCUCGUCUGAUCUUGGAAGCUAAGCAGGGUUGGGCCUGGUUAGUACUUGGAUGGAAGACCACCUAGGAAAAUCAGUGCUACAGACA
rnacentral:rRNA from 1 species